rnacentral:rRNA from 1 species
GAUGAACGCUGGCGGCGUGCCUAAUACAUGCAAGUCGAGCGAACAGAUAAGGAGCUUGCUCCUUUGACGUUAGCGGCGGACGGGUGAGUAACACGUGGGUAACCUAUCUAUAAGACUGGAAUAACUCCGGGAAACCGGGGCUAAUGCCGGAUAACAUGUUGAACCGCAUGGUUCUACAGUGAAAGGCGGCUUUGCUGUCACUUAUAGAUGGACCCGCGCCGUAUUAGCUAGUUGGUGCGGUAACGGCUCACCAAGGCAACGAUACGUAGCCGACCUGAGAGGGUGAUCGGCCACACUGGAACUGAGACACGGUCCAGACUCCUACGGGAGGCAGCAGUAGGGAAUCUUCCGCAAUGGGCGAAAGCCUGACGGAGCAACGCCGCGUGAGUGAUGAAGGUCUUCGGAUCGUAAAACUCUGUUAUUAGGGAAGAACAAAUGCGUAAGUAACUGUGCGCGUCUUGACGGUACCUAAUCAGAAAGCCACGGCUAACUACGUG